rnacentral:rRNA from 1 species
CGCAAGCCUGACGGAGCAACGCCGCGUGAGGGAUGAAGGCCUUUGGGCUGUAAACCUCUUUUCUCAAGGAAGAACAUCUGACGGUACUUGAGGAAUAAGCCACGGCUAAUUCCGUGCCAGCAGCCGCGGUAAUACGGGAGUGGCAAGCGUUAUCCGGAAUUAUUGGGCGUAAAGCGUCCGCAGGCGGCCGUUUAAGUCUGUUGUUAAAUCGUGGAGCUCAACUCCAUCACGGCAAUGGAAACUGUUCGGCUUGAGUAUGGUAGGGGCAGAGGGAAUUUCCGGUGUAGCGGUGAAAUGCGUAGAUAUCGGGAAGAACACCAGUGGCAAAAGCGCUCUGCUGGGCCAUUACUGACGCUCAUGGACGAAAGCCAGGGGAGCGAAAGGGAUUAGAUACCCCUGUAGUCCUGGCCGUAAACGAUGAACACUAGAUGUUGGGGGAAUCGACCCCUCCAGUGUCGUAGCUAACGCGUUAAGUGUUCCGCCUGGGGAGUACGCACGCAAGUGUGAAACUCAAAGGAAUUGACGGGGGCCCGCACAAGCGGUGGAGUAUGUGGUUUAAUUCGAUGCAACGCGAAGAACCUUACCAAGGCUUGACAUCCUGCGAAUCUCCAAGAAAUUGGAGAGUGCCUUCGGGAACGCAGUGACAGGUGGUGCAUGGCUGUCGUCAGCUCGUGUCGUGAGAUGUUGGGUUAAGUCCCGCAACGAGCGCAACCCACGUUUUUAGUUGCCAGCAUUCAGUUGGGCACUCUAGAAAGACUGCCGGUGACAAACCGGAGGAAGGUGUGGACGACGUCAAGUCAUCAUGCCCCUUACGCCUUGGGCUACACACGUACUACAAUGCUGCGGACAAAGAGUAGCGAUCUUGCAAAAGUUAGCUAAUCUCGUAAACCGUGGCUCAGUUCAGAUCGUAGGCUGCAACUCGCCUACGUGAAGGAGGAAUCGCUAGUAAUCGCAGGUCAGCAUACUGCGGUGAAUACGUUCCCGGGCCUUGUACACACCGCCCGUCACACCAUGGAAGUUGGCCAUGCCCGAAGUCGUUACUCUAACCUUUUGGAAGAGGGCGCCGAAGGCAGGGCUAAUGACUGGGGUGAAGUCGUAACAAGGUAGCCGUAGCGGAAGCUGCGGCUGGAUCACCUCCUAA